rnacentral:lncRNA from 1 species
AUUCUCUCUCUCUCUCUCUCUCUCUCUCUCUCUCUCUCUCUCUCUCUCUCUAUAUAUAUAUAUAUAUAUGGCUAAAUUACAGAAAACCUUCCUGUCAAAAUCUGAUUUUUCACUUUCCCCCCCGUCAUUUAAAAACCUACACUUUCCCCCCUGUCCAAACCCGAUGUUUCUAGCCCUUGGAUCUACUCGAUUACUAAUAGCCCUUGGAUCAAACACUAUUCCACCCACCAUCACCUAUCACCACCUACCACCAUCAUCCCAACUACACAUUUCUCCAUCCAAGGGUUAAAAACUCAAAAGCACCGUUCUCUUGGUGUUUUUGAAAGUAUUCUAGCUCAACUCAUAUAUAAUUUAGCUAGAAUACUUUUAGAAGUAUUACUCCCUUGGUGCUUCUAGGUUUCUAGCCCUUGGAUCUACUCCUUAAUUACUAAUAGCCCUUGGAUCAAACACUAUUCCACCUAUCACCACCUACCACAACCUCCCACCGUUAUCCCAACCUUACAUUUCCAUCCAAGGGUUAAAAACUCAAAAGCACCAAGAGAUUGGUGCUUUUGAAAGUAUUCUAGCUUAAUUCAUAUAUAAUUUAGCUAGAAUACUUUUAGAAGUAUUACCCCCUUGGUGCUUCUAGGUUUCUAACCCUUGGAUCUACUCCUUGACUACUAAUAGCCCUUAGAUCAAACACUAUUCCACCUACCACCGCCUACCACCAUCAUCCUAACCUUAUAUUUCUCCAUCCAAGGGUUAAAAACUCAAAAGCACCAUUCUCUUGGUGCUUUUGAAAGUAUUCUAGCUCAACUCUAUAUAUAUAUAUAGACGAUUUACACUUUUUUUGGAAUGAAC